CAAAAGAUUGAUGGAGUUCUUUGCCAACUUUGUCAGCUAAAAGGGGUAAGUUACUGAUUUACGCACAUAAAAGAAGUUCACACCCACAAAUAUUCAUAACCUUUUCUUUUUCUCGAUCGUACUAUACAUAUCUAUAUGUAUAGACAAGGUAUAUCUAUUCACAGGACUGUUUAGUUAUUUAAUCAGCCCUUAAUUAGUCGAUAAUAAGGGUGAGUUUUGAGCUUCUUCAUAACCAUUGUCAUAUUCUCGUUCAAUAUAUAUAUAUAUAUAUAUAUAUAUAUAUACACACACACUGAUGUUUUUUACUACUGUCUAUUAUAUGAACUUGGAGACGCGGCGAGCGAAGAAGAUGAGAUUUCGGGCCAGGCCCAACAUGCAAAGCCCAUUAGAGUCCAAAGAAGUUAUUCCCAUGGCCCAUUAUUUGAGAGAAUUUAAUUUAAAUAUAUAUAUUUCAAAUACUUGUAUUUAAAAGUAUAAUUAUUUACGUAUAUUAUUACUCAUUAGUUAUAAAAUAUUCAUACGUAUAUAUAAUGUAAAAAUGAGUAAUGUUUAUAUGGUAU
rnacentral:lncRNA from 1 species